UACAGAGGGGGCAAGCGUUGUUCGGAAUUACUGGGCGUAAAGCGUGCGCAGGCGGUUCGUUAAGUCAGAUGUGAAAGCCCCGGGCUCAACCUGGGAACUGCAUUUGAAACUGGCGGGCUUGAGUGCGGCAGAGGGGGGUGGAAUUCCGCGUGUAGCAGUGAAAUGCGUAGAUAUGCGGAGGAACACCGAUGGCGAAGGCAAUCCCCUGGGCCUGUACUGACGCUCAUGCACGAAAGCGUGGGGAGCAAACAGG
rnacentral:rRNA from 1 species